ensembl:lncRNA
UGAACAGUGAGGGUGAGAGGCCCAUAGUCCCCUCUCUGUGCUGUAAGUGUAAGCAGGAUCUUGCAGUGUGGUGCUGAGAGCUGAAGGAGGUGCCUGAGGAAGAGAGAAAAACCGCAGGGAAAUGACAGCAAAGCCUUCUUUUAUAGAACAGAGAAUUACAGGCCAGCUGCAAGAGAGAGUGUAGCACUGAUACUGUUGGGCAGUAGAAGUGUUUGUGAAGACAGGACAUGAUACUAACAAGAGAGUGAUGUGUCCAUGUUUGUGUCCUUUUGAAGAUAAGUAGGAAGAAGAAAAGUGAGAAAAGAGAGAAGACAGGAAGAAAGGAAAAGGAAGAGGAAGAGGAAAAGGAAAAGGAAGAAAGAGGAAGAAAUCAAGGCAACAGAGAAGGAGCAUCCUUCAUGCCAUGGAAAAAGGCUGGCAGAGCAUCAAAAGGCCCCAAACUAUUGUAUCUGAUGGUGCUGCAGUAGAGGGAGCAACGCUGGUCUGAAGACAGGAAGAAUGGCUCCUCAGCCUUGCAUUCCUUCUCAGGCUUCUCAGAAGAUCUCUCCGUAACUGUGUCUAUCAAAUUCUGGAAGGGGAGGUAAUAUAUAUUGUGAAGGAGACAAAGAAGGUAAGAGGUGGGAGAACAAUGACAAGAAAAUGAGAUCCAGGAGGGAUUGGACAGGCAAAGAUUACAUAUAGAGAGAUUCCUUUAAGCAAUCAAACUCCUGUUUUGGGAUUAAGCACUGCAAAGUUGUGUCCAUGUCUUCUAUCUUCCCACUAAAGUGAUAAAGAUAGCAACUGACAGAGAUAAGAGUUUUAAGCCUUUUUCUACCUCCACAGUGAAUUGUUAACCUGUCUUUUCGAUGGUCUUUUAAAAGGGUAAGGUAAUAUUUACUGAGUCUAACUAUUCAGGGCCUGAGUGGAUGGAGCCUAGAGCAACCUGAUCUAGUAGCAUAGUAGGGGGUUGGAACUUGGUGAUCUUUAAGGUCUCUUCCAAUUCAAAUUAUUCUGUGAUUCUAUGAUACUGUGAGAGAUGCAAUAUUUUUCAAGUAGAAAUUUUUUCCUAAAAUGAAUUAAAGACUACAAGAGAAUCUUGCAGAACAUGAAUUGGUGUGACAAUCAGCUAUUUGCAAGCACCUUUGCUCAUGAUUCAUGCUGAUUUUGGGCUUGAGGACAAGGUGAGAGGUUGAGGGAAGUGCUGUUUCCAAGCUGUCGAUUCACGAUCUGUGAUCAGUGCCAACAACUAUGUGCCUGUCAAACUUCUGCAUGAAUCGAGCAUGAUCAGGAGACACACGUGAUCCUUUCUGUGUAAGUAUGAGAACUGUGUAAGUAUGAGAACUGUGUACUUGACUGCUACUACAGCUUCCUCAGAGAGUCCACACUGUGGGGCUCAGGAGACAGGAGAGACGUUACUGGGGCCACAGUAUGAUUUAAGAGUUAGAGGCUGAGCUGUCAGAAACAACCAAGCAUUUGCUGGACAAAAGGAAAACAAUAUUGAGAAAAGAAAAAAUGCAAAAAAAAAAAAGAAAAAGGAGAAGAAAAAGUAAGUCAUGAAUCUUCAUGUGAGUAAAGAAGAAUGACUGAAGGGCCAAGCUUCUGGGAGUUAUUGAAAGCUUUCCUAAUGACUGACCUAGCCUGUCUUGGAUCGUAUCUGUGUACACUCCCAGUAGUAUAAUUCCCAUUGUACCACUUACCUGUAUUAUAGGUGUGCCAAAGGAUUUAAAUAGCUGCAAGGAGUUUCUGAUGUGUGCUUCUUAUUUUCAUUAUGAGAGGAGAUCAGAUGUUGCCCAGAAAAUACUUCCUUCAGGCAGUGUCUGUGGAAGUGCUCUGUGAUCAUGUCAGGCUCACAAAACAACUAGCUCCAUGGCCCAUCAUUUCAACAGCUUUGUGGUUAAGGCACUCUGCAGUUUUUUCUUAUCUCUGUUACUGAUGUCUGACAAAACACAAAUUUCUCAGGGACUUAGCCCCUCAUCUAUAACGUGGAAAUGUUCCUGACAAACAUAGUAGAAAGAUCAGCUCGUUUGUGAUGUCCUCACAAAGUCCAUGUAGUAUUGUACUUUGGGGAAAAAAAAAUCUAAGGUAAGCAACAACUUUUUGACACUAACAAAACAGAUUCUCAUCCCUCUGUGCCCCCGUCCAGCACCUACAUUUCUUAUUACUAACACUGAGAAUAUCUAAAAUUUCAAAAAAGUGCAUUAGAAAAAAACCUGGACAGGAUUAACACAUACCAGAGGCUAAAGUAAUACUCACAAUUAUCUUGCUGGAAAAGAAAAAAAUAAACACAAUUAUCUGAAUAAAACCAGAACUCGCAGUGCUUAGAUAGGAGGCAUACCAAUUUGGAUUUGAAUGAGUUACCAAUUCAGUGCUCGGAUAUCUACUUAAGCUGUCAAAACAUUACAUGCUGUGGAAUAUAGUAUAUAUAUUAGAUGGGUCAGAUUUAGGCCAUUUCCUUCCCACAUAUGAAAUAGGAGGUGGUUAAGUAGUGCCCGGAUUUUAAGCUUGUUCAUGGCCUCCCAUAAUCCUAUUCUCAAGUCAUGUGGUAGGAGCCAGAAGAGGAACAGAAGGAAUCAGAAGGAGCAAUUCAUAUGCUUUGUUGUAACUGCCUAUCAGCCUGAUUUUCUCAAUGCUUUCCUCUGACAGAAGCCCUGACAACCAGGCAUGAUAUACAGCAGAUGACUUAAUCACUUGACCACAUCUCAUACUCCAGAUGUUGCCUGAGGUUCUCAUGGACUUGCUACAAGCUGUUGCAGUCUCUCUGCUACUCUGUGACCUCACGUGCUCCCUUCAUCUCUGGGAGGUCUUUCUGGAAAAUAAGCCCACCAAAAGGUACAUUCUUCAACUGCAAACACAGCUGCAUGAGAUCCCUCGUGUGUCUGAACUGCUUCCAGCACAGAAAACACUUUGCAAAUUCUCUGCAAAGAGAUUUACCACAGGAUACAAGGGUUUGAAUGCAACUCUUGAGCAUGUGUGUUUGGAAUAGGAUGGGUUUAUCCUUUGACAGGUCAGAAGAAGAACAAUAAACUUUAAAGACAGGCAUAUAAUUUAUGUUUGGACAUCUGGCUCUGUCAUGUGCUGUGAAGCUGAUUCUCAAUUGGGAAGCAAAGAGGCAAAAUUCACCCGAACCAGAAGGGUAACAAAGAAUAUGACUCAGAAAAGAACUUGUGUCUGUGUUUGCAUACUGCUUUUACUGGAACUUGCUUAAACACUGCCAAAUCAGGACUAAAAGCCACUGAAACUGACAGGCACUUCACCUCUACAGGGCUACCUACAUAAUUACACUAAUACCUUAUAAGAGAUUUAUUCCCCUCCUGAGGUAUGCAUUUUUCCCUGGUGUUUUAGCAAAGCCUAUGACAGACAUUAUGAUGUGUUAAGUGAACUGCCAAAGAUCCAAAAUAGUUCCAGAUAACAAAGAACACUUUUUCUUUAACGUGCUUUAGAGGAGUAAAAUAAAUAUAUCUGGCAAUUUAAGAGCACCAGCUGAAGUGUUUAUGAAGUUGUACAUGAGCUAUUUGAUUGUAACAGU